CCUACGGGAGGCAGCAGUCGGGAAUCUUGCACAAUGGGCGAAAGCCUGAUGCAGCAACGCCGUGUGAGCGAUGAAGGCCUUAGGGUCGUAAAGCUCUGUUGUUAGGGACGAAGGGCGAAGGGUUAAUAGCCCUUAGCCUGACGGUACCUUUCGAGGAAGCCCCGGCUAACUACGUGCCAGCAGCCGCGGUAAUACGUAGGGGGCGAGCGUUGUCCGGAAUUAUUGGGCGUAAAGGGCGCGUAGGCGGCCUGGUAAGUCUGCUGUGAAACCUUGGGGCUCAACCCCAAGCGUGCAGUGGAUACUGUCAGGCUAGAGGAUGGUAGAGGCCAGUGGAAUUCCCGGUGUAGCGGUGAAAUGCGCAGAUAUCGGGAGGAACACCAGUAGCGAAGGCGGCUGGCUGGGCCAUUCCUGACGCUGAGGCGCGAAAGCAUGGGGAGCGAACAGGAUUAGAUACCCUGGUAGUCCAUGCCGUAAACGAUGAACACUAGGUGUGGGGGGAGUCGAAUCCCUCCGUGCCGAAGCCAACGCGUUAAGUGUUCCGCCUGGGGAGUACGGCCGCAAGGCUAAAACUCAAAUGAAUUGACGGGG
rnacentral:rRNA from 1 species